UUCCUCUCUGGGUCACUGCUGGGCAGUGUGUGCGUGUGUUCAGGGUCAGUGAACAGGAGCAUCAGCUAGAAAGAAGAUCUGGAUCCUUCAUCUUUUGGAGAUUUGCCCCCUGCACUUGUGGAUACAGUUUGGGGAGGUCCAGUUUGGCUCUUUGAUAAUGUCUCUGGAGCUUGAAAUGAUUUCCAGUGGUGAAGCCCAUCAUGACCCAUGUACCUCAUAUGAGCUCUCUCGGUUAGACAACUGGCAAGAUAAAAAUGAACAUGAAAUGUUGAAAACAACCAAGAGAAAGCUAUAACCAUUGUUCACUGUCUUUCCCUUCAAUACAAUACAAUAAAAGGAGAUUCCAUAAAAUCA